rnacentral:rRNA from 1 species
CAGCACCUCAAGUGGUCAGGAUGAUUAUUGGGCCUAAAGCAUCCGUAGCCGGCUCUGUAAGUUUUCGGUUAAAUCUGUACGCUCAACGUACAGGCUGCCGGGAAUACUGCAGAGCUAGGGAGUGGGAGAGGUAGACGGUACUCGGUAGGAAGGGGUAAAAUCCUUUGAUCUAUUGAUGACCACCUGUGGCGAAGGCGGUCUACCAGAACACGUCCGACGGUGAGGGAUGAAAGCUGGGGGUGCAAACCGGAUUAGAUACCCGAGUAGUCC